rnacentral:misc_RNA from 1 species
AAGACUAUAGACCUGCGGAGUACCUGCGGAAGGAUCAUUACAGGACUCGCAAGACUCCUACAACCCUGUGAACUUAACUAUAAGCACGUUGCUUCGGCGGGUGUCUCGGCGAGGGUUCUCCCUCCCCGGGGCGCUAAGCCCGCCGGCAGCCUACUAUACUCUGUCUCUUUGCGUUGGCAUCUCGAGUACAAACAAACAAGUUAAAACUUUUAACAAUGGAUCUCUAGAUCGGAAGAGCAC